rnacentral:rRNA from 1 species
CCCUUAGAUGUCCUGGGCUGCACGCGCGCUACACUGAUGUGUCCAGUAAGCACCUAACCUCUUCCGAAAGGAACUGGUAACCUUUGCAAAGCACAUCGUGAUGGGGAUAGAUUAUUGCAAUUAUUAGUCUUGAACGAGGAAUUCCUAGUAAGCACAAGUCAUCAGCUUGUGUUGAUUACGUCCCUGCCCUUUGUACACACCGCCCGUCGCUCCUACCGAUUGAAUGUUCCGGUGAGCUCUUCGGACUGCGCGGUCUGCAGUUUCUGCGUUCCGUGCGGAAAGUUGCGCAAACCUUAACAUUUAGAGGAAGGAGAAGUCGUAACA